AGAUCCCCGUGUACCUGAGGUGUACUGAAGAAGUGUGUUUAGUUUGGGACAGCAGCGUUGGCAAGGGAGAGCCUGUAGUGUGCUUCUAGACCCAGUGUCAGUGCUCCACAUCCUCAUGGAAGGAGCAUUUGUUGGCCCUGUCCUGGGAGAGGUACAUGGCUGAGGGCAGCACUGCAGCAGGGCUGCACGCCUGGCACCAGCUCUGCAGAGAAGCAUAAAGCAGAGCAGGAAACCAUACCAGUUAUAUUAGAUAACAAGAGUGCACCAAUGGCAACUGUAUGGUGAUGUUUGAUUGCAUGUGCUUGGAGUCAUAGCAGUGUCAUGACACCUGGAAAGAGCUCACAUCCACAGGCAUCACACAGGGUUUCUAGCUGCUGGGGUUGGCUGCCAGAGCUGGACUGAAAGAACUGGAAGAAGACCUUUUUGAGGCAGCAAUCCUGUCUCCAUCAUCCUCUGCAAUGAGGCAGAAGAUAUUGAGUGCCCAUGGCUUGGUAUGUCUCCUCCCUGCUGUGAUGUUCAUGGUUGGCCCAUUAAAGCAGAGGUGUGAACGCAGAGUUCCAAAAGAAGGUGCAUGUUGGUUUUUCUGCUCUUCUGCAGCAGAGAUGCUGGGGACGUGGUGCAUGAAGGAAGCCCUGGUUGCACUAUGGAAGUGGUGGGGGAAGCUGAUGGAUUUGCUUGAUCCAGAGCUCUCCAUAAUAGCAGUUGUGGGAAAGGUGUGGUUGCCCAAACCCAGGGAGGACCUGGGUCAAAUUAAUCACUUCCUAGGAGAAUUCACUGCUUACUGACUUCCCAGGGUGACUCACUCAGACGUCUAGAAUGUAGAGGUUUAGAGUGAGUCCUGCUUCAUGAGAAAAGCUAAAAAGGGAAGAGCAAGUGAAGAUAAACAAGCAAAGAGUGUGUGACUUCACCCACAGCAAAGAUGAUGAAUUAAAAAUUUCAGCAGGAAGAGCUUUGCUCUACAAAAAUCGGUCAGUAACAGCACACCAGAGCUAGCUUUACAAGGAAGACUGAUUGUCUGCUCUGUUCCUAGCCAGAAGUGGGAAUCAAAGGAGGGGAAUGGAGCACUCUACUAUUUUAUUUACUGUUAGCCAUGCUCCUUGCAAGUUGCAAUGGAGAAUGUCCUGCCAACAGCCAGCACCUGGCACUGUGAGAUCACAAGUGUCCAUGGAACUACUGGGGAGCAGCUGGGAAGUGCUCCUGAUUCUCUAGGAAUACAGCAUAAAGUCAACUGACAUUGAAUGUGCAUCACUCCAGCCUCCAAAUGCAUGCAGAGAAAAGGAUGGUGACACGAGACUCAGGACAAAUGGAAAUCCUUCUGUGAAUCUCACGAGAUGGCCGGGACCAAAAUGAACAGUUCUUCAUUUACAGCGUGAUUUAAGUGAUUUAGCUUCAGCUACGACUGAGAGCUUCAAGGUAUUCAGUUCCGUUUUCAAUGCUAAAAGUGAGGUGACAGCAAAUACCGAAGAGCAGAGAAAAUUCCUGAACCCAAAGAAGAGAUCUCACUUGACAUAUCCACUUUUCUUAGCCACGGGAGCCACGUUGCUGAUGAGGAAUGAGGUAUUUUUACUUGGACACCAGCCAGCACACAGCCACGUUAAUGUCAUUUCCCUUCUGAAGAGGAUGAGUUCAAUGGUGGCUUCGCUGUUGUUUAGAAUUCACUUCAGCUGCUUUGACUGCUGCCCUUCCCAUCUGCUGGCUGAUGGCACUGCACCAGCAGAGGCCAUCAACAGCAGAGGCCAACAUGUCUGCCCCCAACUUCUUGAGAGCUUCGAUGAGAACAAUAAAAUAAUUCCAUCUUCUCCUGGUUUUGACUGGGAUAGAGUUAAUUUCAUUCCCAGUUGCUGGCACGGUGCUGUGUUUUGGAUUUAGGGUGAGGAUAACAAUGGUAACAAAAAACCUCAAGAUUUCAGCCUAUCUUCUGAA